rnacentral:rRNA from 1 species
AGAAUCAACGCUGGCGGCGUGCCUAACACAUGCAAGUCGCACGAGAAAGGGGGAGCAAUCCCUGAGUAAAGUGGCGCACGGGUGAGUAACACGUGAAUAAUCUACCUCCGAGUGGGGGAAUAACUGAGAGAAAUCUUAGCUAAUACCGCAUAACACUUACGAGUCAAAGCAGCAAUGCGCUUGGAGAGGAGUUCGCGGCAGAUUAGUUAGUUGGGCGGGGUAAUGGCCCACCAAGACGAUGAUCUGUAUCCGGCCUGAGAGGGCGCACGGACACACUGGAACUGAAACACGGUCCAGACUCCUACGGGAGGCAGCAGUGGGGAAUUUUGCGCAAUGGGGGAAACCCUGACGCAGCAACGCCGCGUGGAGGAUGAAGCCCCUUGGGGUGUAAACUCCUUUCGAUCGGGAAGAUAAUGACGGUACCGAUAUAAGAAGCCCGGCUAACUUCGUGCCAGCAGCCGC